UAGGGAAUCUUCCACAAUGGACGCAAGUCUGAUGGAGCAACGCCGCGUGAGUGAAGAAGGUUUUCGGACCGUAAAGCUCUGUUGUUGGUGAAGAAGGAUAGAGGUAGUAACUGGCCUUUAUUUGACGUAUACAACCAGAAAGUCACGGCUAACUACGUGCCAGCAGCCGCGGUAAUACGUAGGUGGCAAGCGUUGUCCGGAUUUAUUGGGCGUAAAGCGAGCGCAGGCGGAAGAAUAAGUCUGAUGUGAAAGCCCUCGGCUUAACCGAGGAAUUGCAUCGGAAACUGUUUUUCUU
rnacentral:rRNA from 1 species